GCCUCAAUAUCAUCUUUGUCUGUGGCAAUAAUAAUGGCAGGUUCUUCUUCCGGACUGCAACACUCUUAAAUAAUACACUGCUGACAACAAAUGUACCCAAUGUAAACAAUAUCCAGGGUUCGAUACAACCAAGCUUGAUUCAGUGUGUUUUCAGCAUCCCCAUUGAUGCAAACACUAUCAACUUCCUAAACAAUGUCAAUGUCACAAAUGUCAACAUUAGCAACAUUGCUAAUUCCCAGCUGAAUGUUUUCCUUGACGUCUUGCAGGGUUCAACCAAUGGAACUGUUCUGGGAGGACCAAAAAGUGUAUUUAGGUCCUCUGUUCCAGUGAAUCUAGCUAAUGUCAACUCUACUAAUGUUGUAAGCCCCACAGCUAAUUCAAAAGCCAGCAUCUCACUCAACAGCCUACUGAGUCAUGCUGCAAUUUGCCUACUCAGUAUCUUCUUGCAUCUGAUCUGAGGGGCCGGAGAGAGUCCUGAAGACUAAUCGUGCUGUGGGUGGAGUAGUAUAGAUAUGCACUAGCAUCAGCAUGUUUUCCUAAAAUAUUCAUACCUCCGCUGGAUUCUUUCUUUAUUCGAUUCUUAGAUUAUUCACAAACAUAUAGCAAACCCAUGUAUGUUUGACAUAUACAGGGUGUUGGACACAUAUAAUAAAGCCUAACUCUUUUAAUCAUCCUCUAACAUUAUACUGACAGUGGAAAUGGUCCUGAAAACUUUUUGAAGUUACAUUAAAAGCUUAUUAACAAACAUA
rnacentral:lncRNA from 1 species